GUUGGAUCAAGUACCCUUAGGUUUCACUCUCACAACUCCUCAUGCCUAUCUUCCCGAACCCCUCUCACGCCCUCUCCUUCCAACUCCUCCUCUCAUGUCCUCUCCAUCCAACUCCUCUCCAGCAAACCCCUCUCCGGCGAACUCCUCUCCACGAACCUCCUCUCCUCUAAAUUCCUUCACCUCUUCGUCAAAUAGCAAAUGCCCUAAUCACUCUGCUCUUGGAUCGCUGCCUCCGCACUAGAUCUACUCGCCGGUGGUUUCCUCUGCAGAAAUGGCAAAUGCUUGGAUUUCAAGAGCAUCAAAGUAUCGGAGUUCAGUUUGGAAGGUUAGCGACAAACGGCCAGGUUAUAAUGCCAGUGACUCAGAUUCUGAUGAGGAGAAGAUUAACAUCAAAUCAUCAGCAGAAGGACCUGGUUCAUAAGUCUCAUCUUGGUGUUGUUUCUCCGAAAUUUAAAAAGAAACAAGCUAGAUCAUCACAGAAGUUAACUACCAAACUCCACAGUUCUUUGGAAGACCCCAACACAAAUGAUUUGGAGGAUGAUCUACCCGUAGAUAAUGCUUCAAAGCAAUUGGUGCUUCAUAAUGAGGCUUCUAGUACACAUUAGAUACAAGUGAGAAGUAGUAAAGACUCCUCGACAACAAGAUGUCAAACAAUGUGGUUAUUAUGUGAUGCGAUUUAUGAGACAAAUUGUUGAAGAAGUUAAAAUUAUCGAGAGAGAUUCACUACGAUCUAUAUUUACAGAAGCGGAGUAUUCUCGAGAAGAAAUUGAUGAGGUGCGAUCGAAGUUGGCAGAAUGUAUACAAGAUCAUAUUUAUGAGUAGGUCAAACAAAAUAUGACUGACAGAACUCAUCAACUUCUAGAUGCUCGAUCAAAGGGCAGAUACACAGUGGUAGGUGUUUUGUCCCAGUCUCAAGCCGUCAAUCCAUUUUGAUCAAUAUAUCUAGUAGAAAUAAGCAUGCAGAUCGUUAUCUUCGAGGCUGGCUAGCUAUUUUGUAUUUUUUUUAUUUUAAAUUUGAAUGCCACUAACUACUUUGAAACAGAAAUAUUUAGUCUUUGUGUAUAGUUGAAUUCUCCUGUAAAUACUAAUACUUUAU